CCUACGGGUGGCAGCAGUGAGGAAUAUUGGUCAAUGGGCGCGAGCCUGAACCAGCCAAGCCGCGUGAAGGAUGAAUGCCCUACGGGUUGUAAACUUCUUUUGUAAAGGAAUAAGCUGAGGCACGAGUGCCUUUUUGUAUGUACUUUACGCAUAAGAGUCGGCUAACUCCGUGCCGGCCGCCGCGGUAAUACGGUGGAUACGAGCGUUAUCCUGAUUUAUUGGGUUUAAAGGGAGCGUAGAGGGGUGGUUAAGUCAGAUGUGAAAGUUUGGGGCUCAACCCUACAAUUGCAAUUGAUACUGGCAGCCUUGAGUACUGUAGAGGGAGGUGGAAUUCGAGGUGUAGCGGUGAAAUGCGUAGAUAUCACGAAGAAUACCGAUUGCGAAGGCAGCUUACUGGACUGACACUGACGUUGAGGCGCGAAAGUGUGGGUAUCAAACAGGAUUAGAUACCCCGGUAGUC
rnacentral:rRNA from 1 species